GAUGAACGCUGGCGGCGUGCCUAAUACAUGCAAGUCGAGCGAAUGGAUUAAGAGCUUGCUCUUAUGAAGUUAGCGGCGGACGGGUGAGUAACACGUGGGUAACCUGCCCAUAAGACUGGGAUAACUCCGGGAAACCGGGGCUAAUACCGGAUAACAUUUUGAACCGCAUGGUUCGAAAUUGAAAGGCGGCUUCGGCUGUCACUUAUGGAUGGACCCGCGUCGCGUUAGCUAGUUGGUGAGGUAACGGCUCACCAAGGCGACGAGGCGUAGCCGACCUGAGAGGGUGAUCGGCCAUACUGGGACUGAGACACGGCCCAGACUCCUACGGGAGGCAGCAGUAGGGAAUCUUCCGCAAUGGACGAAAGUCUGACGGAGCAACGCCGCGUGAGUGAUGAAGGCUUUCGGGUCGUAAAACUCUGUUGUUAGGGAAGAACAAGUGCUAGUUGAAUAAGCUGGCACAUUGACGGUACCUAACCAGAAAGCCACGGCUAACUACGUGCCAGCCGCCGCGGUAA
rnacentral:rRNA from 1 species